UGCAAAGAACUUUGAAGAGAGAGUUCAAGAGUGCGUGAAACCGUUCGGAGGUAAACGGGUGGGACCUCGAAGGUCGAACGGAUGGGGAGGGAUUCAACCCGCUGCCAUGGCACCCAAGCCGUAGCGUUUGCAUUCCAGACUUCGGCCUGGUUGCCCUACGUGCAGUGGCGUGACAGAGUUGCAGCGGGUGCAUUUCCCAGCACCCCCUUCCUAGUAGGACGCCGCGACCGGUUGGAAUGUUGAACGCGGGAGACCAGGAGCGGGGCCAAUGGUAGCUGCACAGGUGCAUUUGGUCGGCGGCAUGUAUGUGCUCCCCGCCGCACCUGCUUGUCUGGCCGGGCCAUGGCGUAGUGUCUCUCACUCCGACCGAGGUUUUAAGUGCGCAUUGGCUCCCUGCAAGGGCCAUGCGUCUUCUAUCGUGCCCUGCAUCCCUUUGCUUGGGUAGACAGAGUCCACCGGGUAGUGCCGGUCUGUCGGGUGUAGUGGUCCCUCGUGGCCGCCACCUGUGCAAGACUUUGGCAACUGCUGUCAGUGAAGGACACAGGCUCCCAACUUUGGGCAUUGAGGGUUCAGCGGCGAGUAGGUUGGUAUCCCACCCGACCCUCUU
rnacentral:rRNA from 1 species